rnacentral:rRNA from 1 species
GAUGAACGCUAGCGGCAGGCUUAAUACAUGCAAGUCGAGGGGCAGCAGGGGUGUAGCAAUACACUUGCUGGCGACCGGCAAACGGGUGCGGAACACGUACGCAAUCUACCCAAAACUGGUGAAUAGCCCUCCGAAAGGAGGAUUAAUACAUCGUAACUUAGUGAAGUGGCAUCACUUUAUUAAUAUAGCUCCGGCGGUUUUGGAUGAGCGUGCGCCUGAUUAGGUAGUGGCGGGGUAACGGCCCACCAAGCCUGCGAUCAGUAACUGGUGUGAGAGCACGACCAGUCACACGGGCACUGAGACACGGGCCCGACUCCUACGGGAGGCAGCAGUAAGGAAUAUUGGUCAAUGGACGCAAGUCUGAACCAGCCAUGCCGCGU